rnacentral:rRNA from 1 species
AGUGAACGCUGGCGGUAGGCCUAACACAUGCAAGUCGAACGGCAGCACAGUAAGAGCUUGCUCUUACGGGUGGCGAGUGGCGGACGGGUGAGGAAUACAUCGGAAUCUACUUUUUCGUGGGGGAUAACGUAGGGAAACUUACGCUAAUACCGCAUACGACCUACGGGUGAAAGCAGGGGAUCUUCGGACCUUGCGCGAUUGAAUGAGCCGAUGUCGGAUUAGCUAGUUGGCGGGGUAAAGGCCCACCAAGGCGACGAUCCGUAGCUGGUCUGAGAGGAUGAUCAGCCACACUGGAACUGAGACACGGUCCAGACUCCUACGGGAGGCAGCAGUGGGGAAUAUUGGACAAUGGGCGCAAGCCUGAUCCGGCCAUACCGCGUGGGUGAAGAAGGCCUUCGGGUUGUAAAGCCCUUUUGUUGGGAAAGAAAAGCAGCAGGUUAAUACCCCGCUGUUCUGACGGUGCCCAAAGAAUAAGCACCGGCUAACUUCGUG